rnacentral:rRNA from 1 species
AUUGAACGCUGGCGGCAUGCUUUACACAUGCAAGUCGAACGGCAGCGGGGUAGUGCUUGCACUACUGCCGGCGAGUGGCGAACGGGUGGGUAAUAUAUCGGAACGUACCGAGUAAUGGGGGAUAACCAAUCGAAAGAUUGGCUAAUACCGCAUACGUCCUGAGGGAGAAAGCGGGGGAUCGCAAGACCUCGCGUUAUUCGAGCGGCCGAUAACUGAUUAGCUAGUUGGUGGGGUAAAGGCCCACCAAGGCGACGAUCAGUAGCGGGUCUGAGAGGACGAUCCGCCACACUGGGACUGAGACACGGCCCAGACUCCUACGGGAGGCAGCAGUGGGGAAUUUUGGACAAUGGGGGCAACCCUGAUCCAGCCAUGCCGCGUGUAUGAAGAAGGCCUUCGGGUUGUAAAGUACUUUUGUUAGGGAAGAAAAGGGAAGUGCUAAUACCACUUUUUGCUGACGGUACCUAAAGAAUAAGCACCGGCUAACUACGUG